GUCCGCCUCAAUUAAAGCGGCAGCGCGGAGAGCACAGCAACCCAUCUCUUCCUCAAUACUGCUAGUUAAAGGGAAAAUAAACAUGAAUGACCAUCAAAAGAUGGGCGUGUUGACUGUGUUUGGAGCGCGACCUGAUUGGCUGGUUGAGCUGAGCUGUUUUGACUGUUUCGUAUGGUGAGACGCUUCAAAACAAAAGUCUUUUAGUUAGCGAAUGAGCAAACUAAAAGGAUCUCGAGCAGGUGCCAAAGUAAUGUGCUGAAAACAGUCAUGUCAGCUGUAGUAACAGGCCUGUGGAGCGUUUGACAGUGAGUCUUAUUCCGAAGAAAGAGCCAAGAAGGUCCGAAGAAAGCGAAAAGGCCACUGGUAGGAAAGAAUGAGCGCAAAUGAGAGAUCAUGAAAUACUGAUGGACUCCCUUGCGCCAUCUGCUGGCCAAAUUAUUAAUAAGAUAAUAAGAUAAAUUAUUCAGUGUAUCUUUAUUUUAUAUAAAAUAUUACAUCAUUUUAACAUGUUAUGUAACACUAAAACAAAGUAAUUCAAGAAACAAAAGCAA